UACGUAGGCAGCGAGCGUUGUUCGGAGUUACUGGGCGUAAAGCGUGCGUAGGCGGUUUUGUAAGUUUGGUGUGAAAUCUCCCCGGCUCAACUGGGAGGGUGCGCCGAAAACUGCAAGGCUGGAGUAUGGGAGAGGUAGGCGGAAUUCCGAGUGUAGAGGUGAAAUUCGUAGAUAUUCGCAAGAACACCAGUGGCGAAGGCGGCUCACUGGCCCAUAACUGACGCUGAGGCACGAAAGCGUGGGGAGCAAACAGG
rnacentral:rRNA from 1 species